AUCAGCUUAAAAUUGCAUUUUGGACGUGCGUUUUAUGUCAUUACGUUGAUGUGAAAAGCGUUCUAUCAUUAGAAAGACAGAGACAAGCUCGGAAAUCAAAAGUAGCUGUAGACGGCGAAUUCAGAAUAAUCCUGAGGUGCAAUUUUUGUCAUUUGGCAUUCCAUGCAAGCUGUGCAGGUUUUGAAGUUGAGUUUCUUCUGACUGGAGACACGGAGGAAGUUUUAUGCAACCAGUGUGCAGAAAAUGAACAGGAUGAUCGAACUAAAAGUAACGAAGGGCGGAGUAAUCAAGAAGAUUAAUGUCACUCAGAACAUGGCGACAAUGCUUUUUUCAGAUACAAUAG